CACAAUAAACUGCCGGGAAAGCAGCAAAUGAACUCUUGAAAGGAAAACUUUCCAGAAAAACUCUGUCCUGCUAUACUUCAGGAAUCCCUCAUCAUGGCAAUUCUGAUUGAAUUGCUGAUAAUUUUGAUCUCAACCUUGGCCCUGCUAAUAGUCAUCUCCCUCUACCGAUCACACAAAUCCAAAGAUCGUCGCGAUUUGCCCGAAGCCAAAGGCGGUUGGCCUAUAUUCGGCCACCUUCUUCUGUUCGGUAGCAAGGACCUGAUGCACAAAAAGUUGGGUUCCAUGGCCGACAAGUAUGGACCGAUUUUCACCAUAAGAUUAGGCUUUCAUCGAGCAAUUAUCGUGAGCAGUUGGGAAGUGGCUAAGGAGUUUUCCACCAUCCACGACAAGGCCUUUGCCGAUCGACCGUUGAUCACUGCCACGAGGCUCAUGGGCUACAACGGUGCAAUGUUUGGCUUCACCCCUUACGGGGAAUACUGGCGAGAGAUGCGCAAGAUUGUGACAGUCGAGCUCCUGUCGAACCACCGGCUUGACUCACUGAAGCACAUACGAGUUCUCGAGGUUGAGAUGGCAAUAAAAGAAUUGUUCAAGGCUUGGAUCAGACAGGGUAAGCCCAGAAGCGGGGUCCCAGUGGAAAUGAAGUCUUGGCUGGGAGACUUGAUGCUCAAUAUAUCUUUGCAUAUGGUUGGGGGGAAGAGCUAUGUUGGUUCGAACACUGACUGCAGCGACGCUGAGGCAAAGAGAUGCAAAAGGUCAAUAAGGGGGUUUUUCGAUCAGUUCAGGGUCUUCAUGCUGUCUGAUGCGAUCCCGGCUCUCGGCUGGUUGGAUAUAGGUGGCUAUGAACGAUCGAUGAAGGAGACAGCAAAAGAGUUGGAUGUUUUGGCUCAGGGGUGGCUAGAGGAGCAUAGAAGGAAGAAGUUGUCCCGCCCCAGAGGUGAUAGAGAGCAAGAUUUUAUGGAUUUGAUGCUGAACAUCUGCGAGAGUGCAAAAUUUUCAGAUUUCGACACCGACACAGUUAUUAAGGCGACUUGUUUGAACUUGAUCGUAGGGGGGACCGAUACUAUGACGACGGCGCUCACGUGGGCACUAUCGCUGCUAGUGAGCAACCGCCGCACAUUGAAGAAGGCCCAACAAGAGCUGGACACCCAUGUCGGCAAGGGCAGGCCCGUCGAAGAGUCCGAUGUGAAGAAGUUGACCUACCUCCAAGCCAUCGUCAAGGAGACAAUGCGCUUGUAUCCCCCUGUGCCGAUUGCUGUCAGAAGUUCGAUGGAAGAGUGCACCUUCUCCGCCGGCUUCCGCAUUCCCAUAGGUACGCGUUUGCUGCUCAACAUCGCAAAAUACAGAGGGACGAGCGUGUCUGGUCCGACCCAGACAAAUUCCUGCCGGAGAGGUUCCUCACAACUCAUGAGAAUGUGGACAUGAGAGGUCAGAACUUCGAGCUCAUCCCCUUCGCCACGGGGAGGAGGUCCUGCGCCGGAACCUCGCUGGCUCUUCACGUGGUGCACUUGGUGCUGGCUAGUUUGCUGCAAAGUUUCGAGAUCAGCAGGGUCUCGGAUGAAGCUGUGGACAUGACCGAGAGCCCUGGUUUGUCGAAUAUGAAGGCGACCCCGCUUGAAGUCAUACUCAUUCCACGCCUUGAUCAGAAGGUUUAUGAAAGGGACGAGCAGGAGAAUUUGUGAUCUUUGACUAUAGUUAUCGCAUUAUCAUGAGGAGAGCCACAAGCUUCAUUUUCUCUUGAAAAUCAAACUUGACAGGACAUGUUCCCACCUAGGAGGCUCCUAAGGAUUGCAAUUAAAAAUAAAACAAUGACUCAAUUACAGUAAAUUUGAAGCCAGUUACUUGAAUAGCUUUCUUUUGCACUUACACCGGCAAUGUAAUAAGAGUGUGGCUUGUUCGAGA